UACGUAGGAGACGAGCGUUGUCCGGAAUUACUGGGCGUAAAGCGCGUGUAGGCGGAUAGGCAAGUCUGCUGUGAAAGCUCCUGGCUUAACCGGGAGUGGUCGGUGGAAACUGCUUAUCUGGAGGACGGUAGAGGCUGGUGGAAUUCCCGGUGUAGUGGUGAAAUGCGUAGAGAAUCGGGAGGAACACCUGUGGCGAAGGCGGCCAGCCUGGGCCGGACCUGGACGCUGAGACGCGAAGGCGUGGGGAGCGAACGGGG
rnacentral:rRNA from 1 species